UACGGGGGGAGCAAACGUUGUUCGGAAUUACUGGGCGUAAAGGGCGCGUAGGCGGUCCUGUAAGUGGUGUGUGAAAUCCGAUGGCUCAACCAUCGAGCUGCGCUCCAAACUGCAGGACUUGAGUACAGCAGAGGAAAGUGGAAUUCCCGGUGUAGCGGUGAAAUGCGCAGAUAUCAGGAGGAACACCGGUGGCGAAGGCGGGUCUCUGGGCCGAAAUUGACGCUGAGGAGCGAAAGCGUGGGGAGCAAACAGG
rnacentral:rRNA from 1 species